rnacentral:rRNA from 1 species
AGCAGCCGCGGUAAUUCCAGCUCCAAAUAGCGUAUAUUAAAGUUGUUGCAGUUAAAAAGCUCGUAGUUGAAUUUCGGGAUUAAUAUGUUGGUCGUGCCUUGGUACGUACUGGCAUUAUUGAUUCCUACCUUCUGAAGAACCUCGAUGUCAUUAAUUUGGUGUCUUGGGGAAUCAGGACCGUUACUUUGAAAAAAAUUAGAGUGUUUAAAGCAGGCUCGCGCUUGAAUACAUUAGCAUGGAAUAAUGAAAUAGGACGUUUGAUUCUAUUUUGUUGGUUUCUAGGAUCGACGUAAUGAUUAAUAGGGAUAGUUGGGGGCAUUAGUAUUCAAUUGUCAGAGGUGAAAUUCUUGGAUUUAUUGAAGACUGACUACUGCGAAAGCAUUUGCCAAGGAUGUUUUCAUUAAUCAAGAACGAAAAGUUGGGGGAUCGGAAAGNACGGAAUCAGAUACCGUCGUAGUCUUAACCAUAAACUAUGCCGACUAGGGAUCGGAUGAUGUUAAUUUUUUUAAUGACUCAUUCG